rnacentral:tRNA from 1 species
GGGCGGAUGGUUUAGUGGUGUAASCAUUCACACACAGUGCUGAAAUUGAGCAAUUUCUAACAUAUAUUAGAUAAUUCUCCCUUAGCAACAGGUGACCAACCUGGGAGAGGUCCAGGGUUCGAUUCCCUGUUCGUCCA